GGGAUAAUAAAUCUAUCAUCAUGGGUAUAAUAACUACCCACAAUGGUUAAUCAUUGGUAUAGUAACUAAGGCACUUUAAGGUAGACCAUUUACCAUGAUGCUGACAGUCCAAUAACAACCCAACAUGUGUCCUUAAUAGAGGAUGAUGGAGUGAUUAUCCAGUCUCUGCCACUUGAUCUUUUACAAUCAUGCUGGAGGAGUUUCAGAACUUUCUAUCCACAAGAUGACAAGUGGCUUAGCCACUCACUCCACUCCCUCCUCCAUUAAGCAAGAUCCGUGAUCUCAGUAACUUUAGGAUAUACGAGUUGUUAUUCUCUGAUAGCCAGAAUAUGUCUCCAAAGCCACUACUC
rnacentral:lncRNA from 1 species